AAUGAACGUUGGCGGCAUGGAUUAGGCAUGCAAGUCGAGCGAGAAGAGUUUUGAAGCUUGCUUUAGAACUCGGACAGCGGCGAAAGGGAGAGUAACGCGUAGUUAUGUGCCCUAGGGUCCGGAAUAGCCACGGGAAACUGUGGGUAAUGCCGGAUAACAUCCCCGGAUCAAAGGUGUGAUUCCGCCCUAGGAGCAGACUGCGUCCUACUAGCUAGUUGGUGGGGUAAUGGCCCACCAAGGCAAUGAUGGGUAGCGGGUGUGAGAGCAUGACCCGUCUCACUGGGACUGAGACACUGCCCAGACACCUACGGGUGGCUGCAGUCGAGAAUCUUCGGCAAUGGGCGAAAGCCUGACCGAGCGAUGCCGCGUGCGGGAUGAAGGCCCUCGGGUUGUAAACCGCUGUCGUAGGGGAGGAAGGUUCCGUGAAGAGCGGAAUUUGACCUAUCCUAGGAGGAAGUACGGGCUAAGUUCGUGCCAGCAGCCGCAGUAACAC
rnacentral:rRNA from 1 species